rnacentral:rRNA from 1 species
GUAGGUGGCAAGCGUUGUCCGGGAAUUAUUGGGGCGUAAAGCGCGCGCAGGCGGUUCUCUAAGUCUGAUGUGAAAGCCCACGGGCUCAACCGUGGAGGGUCAUUGGAAACUGGAGAACUUGAGUACAGAAGAGGAAAGCGGAAUUCCACGUGUAGCGGUGAAAUGCGUAGAGAUGUGGAGGAACACCAGUGGCGAAGGCGGCUUUCUGGCCUGUAACUGACGCUGAGGCGCGAAAGCGUGGGGAGCAAACAGGAUUAGAUACCCUGGUAGUCCACGCCGUAAACGAUGAGUGCUAAGUGUUAGGGGGUUUCCGCCCCUUAGUGCUGCAGCUAACGCAUUAAGCACUCCGCCUGGGGAGUACGGCCGCAAGGCUG